UACGUAGGGGGCUAGCGUUGUCCGGAUUUAUUGGGCGUAAAGAGCGUGUAGGCGGCCAGGUAGGUCUGCUGUGAAAACUCGAGGCUCAACCUCGAGCUGUCGGCGGAAACCAUCUGGCUAGAGUCCGGAAGAGGAGAGUGGAAUUCCCGGUGUAGCGGUGAAAUGCGUAGAGAUGCGGCGGAACACCGAUGGCGAAGGCAGCCCCCUGGGCUGAGAUUGACGCUCAGGCACGAAAGCGUGGGGAGCAAACAGG
rnacentral:rRNA from 1 species